rnacentral:rRNA from 1 species
UUCGCAAUGCCCGAAAGGGUGACGAUGCGACGCCGCGUGAGCGAAGAAGGCCCUAGGGUUGUAAAGCUCUGUCGGGGGUUAAGAGAUGCAGGUUGGCUAAUACCCAGCUUGUUUGACAAAGGCCCCAAAGGAAGCCACGGCUAACUCUGUGCCAGCAGCCGCGGUAAUACAGAGGUGGCAAGCGUUGUUCGGUGUUAUUGGGCGUAAAGAGCACGUAGGUGGUUUUGUAAGUCAGAUGUGAAAGCCUUCUGUUCAAAGGAAGAACGGCAUCUGAAACUGCAAAUCUUGAGUGUAGGAGGGGAGAGUGGAACUUCUGGUGGAGCGGUGAAAUGCGUAGAUAUCAGAAGGAACGUCGACGGCGAAAGCGACUCUCUGGCCUAUUACUGACACUGAGUGUGCGAAAGUUAGGGGAGCAAACGGGAUUAGAUACCCCGGUAGUCCUAACUGUAAACGAUGGGCACUAAGUAGAGGGGUUUUA